rnacentral:rRNA from 1 species
GAAGAGCGGCGGACGGGUGAGUAACGCGUGGGUAACCUGCCCUGUACACACGGAUAACAUACCGAAAGGUAUGCUAAUACGAGAUAAUAUACUUUUAUCGCAUGGUAGAAGUAUCAAAGCUUUUGCGGUACAGGAUGGACCCGCGUCUGAUUAGCUAGUUGGUAAGGUAACGGCUUACCAAGGCGACGAUCAGUAGCCGACCUGAGAGGGUGAUCGGCCACAUUGGAACUGAGACACGGUCCAAACUCCUACGGGAGGCAGCAGUGGGGAAUAUUGCACAAUGGGCGGAAGCCUGAUGCAGCAACGCCGCGUGAGCGAUGAAGGCCUUCGGGUCGUAAAGCUCUGUCCUCAAGGAAGAUAAUGACGGUACUUGAGGAGGAAGCCCCGGCUAACUACGUGCCAGCAGCCGCGGUAAUACGUGGGGGGCUAGCGUUAUCCGGAAUUACUGGGCGUAAAGGGUGCGUAGGUGGUUUCUUAAGUCAGAGGUGAAAGGCUACGGCUCAACCGUAGUAAGCCUUUGAAACUGGGAAACUUGAGUGCAGGAGAGGAGAGUGGAAUUCCUAGUGUAGCGGUGAAAUGCGUAGAUAUUAGGAGGAACACUAG